UGUGUCUACUUAUGUGGCCUAUGUUGU
rnacentral:piRNA from 1 species